rnacentral:rRNA from 1 species
CUUGCUUCUCUUGAGAGCGGCGGACGGGUGAGUAAUGCCUAGGAAUCUGCCUGGUAGUGGGGGAUAACGUCCGGAAACGGACGCUAAUACCGCAUACGUCCUACGGGAGAAAGCAGGGGACCUUCGGGCCUUGCGCUAUCAGAUGAGCCUAGGUCGGAUUAGCUAGUUGGUGGGGUAAUGGCUCACCAAGGCGACGAUCCGUAACUGGUCUGAGAGGAUGAUCAGUCACACUGGAACUGAGACACGGUCCAGACUCCUACGGGAGGCAGCAGUGGGGAAUAUUGGACAAUGGGCGAAAGCCUGAUCCAGCCAUGCCGCGUGUGUGAAGAAGGUCUUCGGAUUGUAAAGCACUUUAAGUUGGGAGGAAGGGCAGUAAAUUAAUACUUUGCUGUUUUGACGUUACCGACAGAAUAAGCACCGGCUAACUCUGUGCCAGCAGCCGCGGUAAUACAGAGGGUGCAAGCGUUAAUCGGAAUUACUGGGCGUAAAGCGCGCGUAGGUGGUUCGUUAAGUUGGAUGUGAAAUCCCCGGGCUCAACCUGGGAACUGCAUUCAAAACUGACGAGCUAGAGUAUGGUAGAGGGUGGUGGAAUUUCCUGUGUAGCGGUGAAAUGCGUAGAUAUAGGAAGGAACACCAGUGGCGAAGGCGACCACCUGGACUGAUACUGACACUGAGGUGCGAAAGCGUGGGGAGCAA